rnacentral:rRNA from 1 species
GUGUCAGCAGCCGCGGUAAUACGUAGGUGGCAAGCGUUAUCCGGAAUUAUUGGGCGUAAAGGGAGCGUAGGCGGUUUAUUAAGUUUAUGGUUAAAGUUCGGGGCUCAACCCCGUGAUGCCAUAGAAACUGGUAGACUUGAGUACAGGAGAGGUUAGUGGAAUUCCAUGUGUAGCGGUAAAAUGCGUAGAUAUAUGGAGGAACACCAGUGGCGAAGGCGGCUAACUGGCCUGUAACUGACGCUGAGGCUCGAAAGCGUGGGGAGCAAAUAGGAUUAGAUACCCUAGUAGUCCACGCCGUAAACGAUGGAUACUAAGUGUUGGAAGAAUUCAGUGCUGUAGUUAACGCAAUAAGUAUCCCGCCUGGGGAGUAUGCGCGCAAGCGUAAA